UAGAAGGUCAUUCAUUGUCAAAGGUGACCAUGGGUUGGGCUGUGGUCUUCCUUGCGCUUCUCACUUACUGCACAGGCAUCAAUGGUCAGUCUGCUUGGACUCAGCCUCCCUCCAGCUCUGUGUCCCCAGGUGGAACCGUUACAAUCUCCUGCACAACCCAGAAUGCUAAUAGCAUCCACUGGUAUCAGCAGAAAGCAGGAGAAGCCCCCCGUUUUGUCCACUGUAAUGGCUGCAGCAGGGGAGAAGGGAUCCCAAAUCGGUUCACUGCCACCCAGUCUGGGACUACAGGAUCUUUGGCCAUCACCAAUGCAGAGGCUGGAGACGAGGCAGAUUAUUACUGUGCUAGCUGGAGUGGUGAUUUGUUGCACAGUGUGAGAAGGAAGGACUCACUGGCUCUGAUCUAUGCAACCAGUUCCAGACCAUCGGGGGUUCCAGCCCGUUUCUCUGGAUCCAGAUCAGGCAAUGUGAUGUCCUUGACUAUCACUGGGGCUCUGGCUGAGGAUGAGGCUGAUUAUUACUGUGGUAGCUGGAACAGUGGAGGCGACAGGCUGCACAGUGGUACAUUCAAAUGGGGAAGUGUGACAAAAACCUCCUCACUGCCUCUUCAGCCUGAAACCACAAGCCACAGCCCUUGA